rnacentral:rRNA from 1 species
UACGGGAGGCAGCAGUGGGGAAUAUUGCACAAUGGGCGCAAGCCUGAUGCAGCCAUGCCGCGUGUAUGAAGAAGGCCUUCGGGUUGUAAAGUACUUUCAGUCGUGAGGAAGGUGUUAAGGUUAAUAACCUUAGCAAUUGACGUUAGCGACAGAAGAAGCACCGGCUAACUCCGUGCCAGCAGCCGCGGUAAUACGGAGGGUGCGAGCGUUAAUCGGAAUUACUGGGCGUAAAGGGCACGCAGGCGGUUAAUUAAGUUGGAUGUGAAAUCCCCGGGCUUAACCUGGGAAUGGCAUUCAAGACUGGUUAGCUAGAGUCUUGUAGAGGGGGUAGAAUUCCAUGUGUAGCGGUGAAAUGCGUAGAGAUGUGGAGGAAUACCGGGUGGCGAAGGCGGCCCCUGGGACAAAGGCUGACGCUCAUGUGCGAAAGCGUGGGGAGCAAACAGGAUUAGAUACC